rnacentral:RNase_P_RNA from 1 species
UGAGUCGGCCAUACGGUCGCGCGUAUUUUCAGUACGUGAGGAAAGUCCGAGCUUCACAGGGCGGGAUAACAGCUAACGGCUGCCGGGGGUGACCCCAGGGAGAGUGCAACAGAGAUAUACCGCCGCUUUACGCGGUAAGGGUGGAAAGGCGAGGUAAGAGCUCACCGCGCCCGCGGGUAACCGCGGGGGCCUGUAAACCCUAUCCGAAGCAACGCUGACUGUGGCUAUACGCUUGCCCGGCGUGCCACGAAAGGCGGCUUGAGCGCACAGGUGACUGUGCCCCCAGAUAGAUGACCGUACACGACAGAACUCGGCUUACGGCCGGCUCAUGAU